rnacentral:rRNA from 1 species
AACGAACGCUGGCGGCAUGCCUAACACAUGCAAGUCGAACGAGACCUCCCGGUCUAGUGGCGCACGGGUGCGUACCGCGGGGGAACCUGCCCGUAGGUUCCGAAUCACUCCCCGAAAGGUGUGCUAAUACCGGAUAAUUUCUUCGGACCAAAGAUUUCUCGCCUUUGGGUGGGGCCGCGUUGGAUUAGCUAGUUGGUAGGGUAAAAGCCUACCAAGGCGACGAUCCAUAGCUGGUCUGAGAGGAUGUUCAGGCACACUGGGACUGAGAACCGGCCCAGACUCGUACGGGAGGCGGCAGUGGGGAAUAUUGGAGAAUGGGCGAGAGCCUGAUCCAGCAAUGCCGCGUGAGUGAUGAAGGCGUUAGGGUUGUAAAGCUCUUUUACCCGGGAUGAUAAUGACAGUACCGGGAGAAUAAGCACCGGCUAACUCCGUG